GUAAUCCUUUCUGAGACAUUCUGGAAUUCUAGAAAUGUAAUUUCACUGGAAAUAGUGGUGAACUUACCUUCAAUUGUUUUCCUCCACAGCUGCUGUGAGCUGCGGGCCAAACCAAAGCUGAGAAACUCUUUGAAGCUCCUGAAGCCUUCUCUUCUCUCCAGAAAACAACAGAAAGUCUUAGAAUGUCGAAGCCACUGCCAGCCUGGAACAGAUCUUGCAAGCCCUGCCUUUUCUCUCAUCAUCUAGGGAUUCAUCUGACUGAAGAAAGUCACCUGCUCCCCGCCACAUGUAUCCUUGCAGUCAAAAAAGACAGAAACAAAAGCAAAACUCCCAUGUCUAAGAGAAACACCAAGGCCUCUUCAACAGUUCUGCUCUUGCACUUCAGAACAGACAGAGUUGGCUCUUCACUUUGGGAGACAAUGACCACCCUCACCACACACAAGUAUUUUACACUUUGGAUUCAGCAUGACCUAGACUCAACAGCUAACCUAAAGUUAAGUGAGCUCUUCAAUCUAAGAACAUCCAAGGACAGCUUCUUCCCCGUAACCUAAGAGCUAUUCAGAUGUGUUCAAGUUGUUCACUGACAGUCUCCAGCAGUGGGACUGUGGUCACAUGUGGAAGACUUAAGGGUUUAAAUUCUCUUGUGUGCACAGUUCCCUUUGAAAAAUGUGGAACCAUUGAAUUUGGGGACUGUUCUCCUUCUAUGGUCAUGAGUUUAACAAAGAACCUCAAGCUUGAUUCUGAAGUUCUUGAUCAUAUUCUAUUUUUCAAUGGAGUUAGUUUAAUUUUGUUCUUCAGAUGUUUAUUAAGACAAAGUAAUGAUACCACUCUUUUCUAUGUCUGGCUCUGUAGACAACAAGAAAGAUUGGGUUAAUUUAUUCUAUUUUAGUUUGAGGGCUUAUGAGUACUUAUAUUUCUCAAGAGCAUUGUAAGCCCCUUGAAAAGAAAAAUGACUUGUUUAUAAUGGUCAUACUUGAAUACAGUGAAUUGUGUGUAGUGAGUGCUUCAAGGCAUUUUCAGAGUUCAUUUAAAGACUGUGAUAUAGUAAUAUAUAGUGAUAUAGUGACAUAGGGGAUCCUUUUCUACUAUAACUUUCUGAUUUUUCAUCAUUUUCAU